rnacentral:rRNA from 1 species
UACGAAGGGGGCUAGCGUUGCUCGGAAUCACUGGGCGUAAAGCGCACGUAGGCGGCUUCUUAAGUCAGGGGUGAAAUCCUGGAGCUCAACUCCAGAACUGCCUUUGAUACUGAGGAGCUUGAGUCCAGGAGAGGUGAGUGGAACUCCGAGUGUAGAGGUGAAAUUCGUAGAUAUUCGGAAGAACACCAGUGGCGAAGGCGGCUCACUGGCCCGGUACUGACGCUGAGGUGCGAAAGCGUGGGGAGCAAACAGG